rnacentral:rRNA from 1 species
AUGAGCCAUGACUCUUUAUGCUGGUGUGGUUCUGCAAUUGGUACUUGGCUGUUUUCCUUGGAUGAAGUUGUAACCUGUGCUAAACUGGCCAUUUGUCAAGAACAGGAGCCUCCAGGAACCCAUGCUGAUGGCACCAAAUCUGUAAAUGGGCCAACAUCAAGGAUCUGCCAAAGUCGUGUUUUAUUGUCUGCGGCGAAUGUAUCUGGCAGAGGAUGCAAAGACGGCACAGAGCAGAAUUCGGUCGCUAUUUCCCUGGAGCUGGCUGCCUAUUGGAAAGAAGUGGAAGGGCCUCUUAUCCCCAUGGUACAGAUGAUGGGUUUUUGGUCUCUAUUUACCUCCUGA